rnacentral:rRNA from 1 species
UGAGUAACACGUGAGUAACCUGCCCUUAACUCUGGGAUAAGCCUGGGAAACUGGGUCUAAUACCGGAUAUGACUCCUCAUCGCAUGGUGGGGGGUGGAAAGCUUUUUGGGGGUUUGGAUGGACUCCCGGGCUAUCAGCUUGGUGGUGAAGUAAUGGCUCACCCAGGCGACCACCGGUAACCGGCCUGAAAAGGUGACCGGCCACCCUGGGACUGAAACCCCGGCCAGACUCCUACCGGAGGCAGCAGUGGGGAAUAUUGCACCAUGGGCGCAAGCCUGAUGCAGCGACGCCCCGUGAGGGAUGACGGCCUUCGGGUUGGAAACCUCUUUCCGUAAGGAAGAAGCGAAAGGGACGGUACCUGGAGAAAAAACGCCGGCUAACUACCUGGCAGCAGCCGCGGUAAUACCUAAGGCGCAAGCGGUAUCCGGAAUUAUUGGGCGGAAAGAACUCCUAAGCGGUUUGGCGCGGCUGGCGGGAAAGGCCCGGGCUCCACUCCGGAUCUGCGGUGGGUACCGGCAGACUAAAAGGAUGGAAGGGAAAAUGGAAUUCCUGGUGGAACGGUGAAAUGCGCAGAUAUCAGGAAGAACACCGAUGGCGAAAGCAGGUCUCUGGGCAUUAACUGACGCUGAAGAACGAAAGCAUGGGGAACGAACAGGAUUAGAUACCCUGGUAGUCCAUGCCGUAAACGUUGGGCACUAAGUGGGGGGGGACAUUCCACGUUUUCCGCGCCGUAGCUAACGCAUUAAGUGCCCCGCCUGGGGAGUACGGCCGCAAGGCUAAAACUCAAAGGAAUUGACGGGGGCCCGCACAAGCGGCGGAGCAUGCGGAUUAAUUCGAUGCAACGCGAAGAACCUUACCAAGGCUUGACAUGGGCCGGACCGGGCUGGAAACAGUCCUUCCCCUUUGGGGCCGGUUCACAGGUGGUGCAUGGUUGUCGUCAGCUCGUGUCGUGAGAUGUUGGGUUAAGUCCCGCAACGAGCGCAACCCUCGUUCCAUGUUGCCAGCGCGUAAUGGCGGGGACUCAUGGGAGACUGCCGGGGUCAACUCGGAGGAAGGUGGGGACGACGUCAAAUCAUCAUGCCCCUUAUGUCUUGGGCUUCACGCAUGCUACAAUGGCCGGUACAAAGGGUUGCGAUACUGUGAGGUGGAGCUAAUCCCAAAAAGCCGGUCUCAGUUCGGAUUGGGGUCUGCAACUCGACCCCAUGAAGUCGGAGUCGCUAGUAAUCGCAGAUCAGCAACGCUGCGGUGAAUACGUUCCCGGGCCUUGUACACACCGCCCGUCAAGUCACGA